UACGUAGGGGGCGAGCGUUAUCCGGAAUCAUUGGGCGUAAAGAGCUCGUAGGCGGUUCAGCAAGUCAACUGUGAAAGUCCAAGGCUCAACCUUGGAAAUGCAGUCGAUACUGCUGUGACUAGAGUCUGGUAGAGGAGAAUGGAAUUCCCGGUGUAGCGGUGGAAUGCGCAGAUAUCGGGAGGAACACCAGUAGCGAAGGCGGUUCUCUGGGCCUCGACUGACGCUGAGGAGCGAAAGCAUGGGUAGCAAACAGGAUUAGAAACCCCCGUAGUCC
rnacentral:rRNA from 1 species